rnacentral:tRNA from 1 species
UGGGCGGUUAGCUCAGCGGUAGAGCACUGCCUUCACACGGCAGGGGUCGCAGGUUCAAACCCUGCACCGCCCACCAA